CGGGGCGUGGCGCAGUUUGGUAGCGCACUUGACUGGGGGUCAAGUGGUCGGAGGUUCAAAUCCUCUCGCCCCGACCA
rnacentral:tRNA from 1 species